UUUUCGGUCGUGCACGCCCGAGUGCUCUCACACAAUCCAUCUCACCCCUUGUGCACCACCGCGUGGGUCCCUCUCCGGCUCCUCCGGAGGGGGGCUCGCGUUUUCACACAAACUUGAAGUAGUGUAGAAUGUCCUUUUUUGCGAUAACACGCAAUCAAUACAACUUUCAACAACGGAUCUCUUGGCUCUCGCAUCGAUGAAGAACGCAGCGAAAUGCGAUACGUAAUGUGAAUUGCAGAAUUCAGUGAAUCAUCGAAUCUUUGAACGCACCUUGCGCCCCUUGGCAUUCCGAGGGGCACACCCGUUUGAGUGUCGUGAAAUUCUCAAAACCCUUUCUUUUGGUCAUUUUCGACCAUCGAAAGGAUUUUGGACUUGGAGGCCUUUUUGCUGGUUUCACCUUGAAGCGAGCUCCUCCCAAACGUAUUAGUGGGGUCUGCAUUGUCGGUCCUUGGCGUGAUAAGUUGUUUCUACGUCUUGGAUUUUUGGCGCUGUACACCUGCUUCUAACCGUCUCAUUGACAAGCGAUGGUGU
rnacentral:rRNA from 1 species